rnacentral:rRNA from 1 species
GAUGAAGGUGGCGAGCGUUGUUCGGAAUCACUGGGCAUAAAGCGCACGUAGGCGGUGACGUAAGUCGGGUGUGAAAUCCCUCGGCCUAACCGAGGAACUGCGCCCGAUACUGCGUUGCUUGAGGAUCAGAGGGGUGUAUGGAAUUUCCGGUGGAGCGGUGAAAUGCGUUGAUAUCGGAAGGAACUCCGGCGGCGAAAGCGAUGCACUGGCUGAUUUCUGACGCUGAGGUGCGAAAGCCAGGGGAGCAAACGGG